CCUCCACUAUGAAUCGUGGGAAGUAAUGAGGAGGAUCCGCUCCUAUCAGAAGGAGCUUGUUUAAUGUCAACAAUGUUGCCUUGACCCUCACAUAUUUUCUGUUGUUCAUAAUUAUGCUUUAUGAGAGUGCUUACGUUGCUGCACAUAUUUUUCCCCCAUCCUUUAGAAACAUUGUGUAACCAGGGACAACCCUAAAUAAAGAGACUGGGCGGAAAUACCUUUCAGAGUGGUUUCGGGAUGGUACCUGAAACUAUCUCUGUCCAUUCUCCUCGAGUAUAUACCAUUGUCUUUCUCUUCUUUAUAUGUUAUCAGGUAUUUGGGCAGGUUUUAGACCCAACACACUACAAAAUAUUAUUUGAGAUAACUUUAAGAGAUGUUGGUUGAAUGUAUUUUAUCAAGUUCCUAAAAUGCAAAUCAAGUUGGCUCAAAAUGAAGUCCAUAAUUGAUACAACAAACAGUUUGUUGACUCAACUCUCUGUAUCAAGUUAUGUGGACUUAACUUAAAGGGAUAUUCCGGCGUAAAUUUAAGUUACGGUCACACACCCUAACAACAAGUUAAACCCCUCGAGAGAUGAAUGUUGCCGACUGCUUGCCUCUCUGGUUAUACCACUUCAGCAAUGACCGCACAAUACCAAUACACAGGGGUAUACGUCUUCAUGUCUAACUUCCUUAACAGAACAUAUAGGGUCCCAGCCAUAGUACUAGCCAAACGUCUUUUUAGCUUUGCCUGGUUUCUUAUAAAAAGAUAACAAACAUAACUCACCCACUCUUCUCCUCCAGCAGCCGCUUGUUUGUGGGGGAGCCCUAACAAGACGAUCACCAAGUGCAGCAGAAAAUUUAUGAUGAUUUCUUCAUGGAAAUGCAAUCAGACUGAGACGCUGAGGCAAGAGAAAACCGCAUCUACAGUGUGCACACAAGAUACGCAAGAACUCUGAUUGCAUUGCCAUGAAGUAAUAUUCAUAAAUGUUCUUGCUUGAGCUGCAAAACUCCCUGCACUCGGGGAUGUACUCGUCUGGGCUCCCCCCACGAACAAGCAGCUGCUGGAGAAGAGUGGGUGCGUUGUGUUUGGUGUCUUUGCUACAGAAACCAGGCAAAGGUAAUUUUUUGAUGGCUAGAACUAUAGCUGGGUCCCUAUAUGUACUGUUGAUGAAGUUAGGUGGUGUUCUGAGCAUUAUUUGUGGCUUUAGAGUGGCUUUUUGGUUGAAGUUUGCGCGUGGGGACAUAGACUGCUGUGUAUUGCUAUCGUGCGGUCGUUGCUGAAGUUGGUAUAAUUAGAGAAGCAAGCAGUUGGCAGCAUACAUCUCUCGAGGGGCUGUCUAGCUUGGUGUAAGGGUGUGUGACCAUAACUUAAAUUUAUGCCAGAAUAUCCCUUUAAGAUAACUAAAAAACAUGUUGGCUGAACUUAUUUUAUCGAGUUAGUGAAACAUCAUGUAUUUUUUUGUCGACCUUAAGCAAACUAAUGUUAAUAAAGAAUCUACAUGAGAAUUAGCUAGUCAACUUUCAAUAUUAACACAUGAAAAAUAGCUGAGAAGACAAUUCAAUUAGGACCUUUAUUAAAACCCCAACAAGCCCAACUCCAACCAGCCUUGCUUCAAAAUAAGUGUCAAUAGAUGUCAAGACAUUAAAAAAGACCUUUCUUGGGACAUGUAAGAAAAGAAAAAAAAUAAAAUAAAUAAAGGCCUCAACACCCUCUAACACAGUGGUCCCCAACCUUUUUUGUACCAGGGACCAGUUUCAUGCAGUAAACUUUUCAAAGGACCGGGUAGGGGCAUGGAGGUUCCAAUAACAAAAACCUUCAUCAGUACAUAGUAUGUACAUAGUGUGUAAUCUGGCUGCAACAAUUAUAUUUUAUAUUAGGCACUUUUCAUUACACUUUAAAAUCAACUCACCAUAAUGCAGAAUCAACCCUUUCUCUCUCCAGUGAACUCUGUUUCUGGCUCAUUUUUGCAAAGGCUAGCUUGUGUUGCACGAAGUGGGGCGAUGGCAGACGUGGUGGUCUUUAAAAUGAAAUACUGGGAGGAUGGAUGAAAAGAGAAAAAAAAGAAAAAUUAAUCAUCGUCUUUUUUUUUGCAGCCCAGUACCAAUUGAUCUAUGGACCGGUACUGGGCCUGGUGGUUGGGGAUCUCUGCUCUAACAGACCUUUGCUUUGAUAAACUGAAAUUUCACUGUCCCUCACAUAACUGAUAAUAUAAGACAUAAAAAGAAGCGCUUCCUUCCUUUGGGUAAAAACAUUAACUCUCUGAAACAGAGCCCGUUCUGAGUGAAUGUUCAGAGUUGCUGCAGUAAAUUGCAUUGCAGAAAGAGAUUCAUAAGAACAAACAAAGAAAAUGUAUCUCUGAGAAACUUCCUCAAAAUGUUGAAAAUGAAAACAUUCAAACAUGACUGAAAUGUCCACUCUUUUGACAAUUUUUCUGUAACAUCACAUGGAUUAGUGUUCCUCCAAACAGAGCGAUAGAAAAAGUCAGAACAUGAAACAAGGGUUGACCAACGUUUAAAGAGGACAUGAAAUACACCACAUUGACGUCCUCACAUGGUAAAUUAGGAGAGAGUCUGAAAUAAUUUUUUGUGUAAAAAAUCAGCUGUUUAAUAGAAAAACCGCUUUCAAGAUGACAUGCGCACAGCGCCAUCUUGAGUUUAAGACAGUUGUGACGUCAGCGGUUGUGCAGGAACAGAGCGGUGAAAUAGUAAUUAGUGUACGUGACUCAAACGCUCAGCGGUAAGAUGUCGGAGGACGAAUCUGAGAUGGAUGUGGUGGAGGUCUAUCCUGCCAACCUGAUGGCGUAUGCUUUUGAGCCGGUCAGAAAGAGACCAUGUAAGCUAGAUGGAGAAGCGGAGGAGGAGAAGGCAGUAGCAACGGUACAUGCACACACACGCACACAUACAGAGCAGCGAUCUGAAGUAAACAUCAGUAUUAACUGUAUAAACUUCAUCACCAGAAUCUCUCUCAUUAACUCUGUCUCCUCUCAUCCACACAGACCCACCUGUGUUCACAAAGCUACAGCUUUCACAGCUCAUCACACCACACCGCUGUUUAACGGAGAUCUGAUAUAGAAUAACAGAGGAAACGUGACCUAAAAAAUAUAAAACUUCCUGAUCUCUGUCCACCACACAUAGUCUAGUUGGUUGGAGGGGGUUCAGUGCACCCCCCCGGAGAUAUAUUUCUAAUCAGUGUUUUUCUAUAGGAAAAAAUGUGCUGAAAAUGAUGAGCUAUGAUAAAAAGUUCUCAGAAUGUCCCAUCUGCCCCCAAACCCCCCAAAACCCACUUUUUAGUAUAUGGCUCUAGCGAAAUUGUGUUAAGGCAAAUAUUCAUUCACUAACUGACUUUGACUACACAAUGCACACAUUAUGUAAUAUUUCCUUCUUGAAUAUAGUUAUCACAUAUAGUUUAAAUAUUUUUCCUUCUUAUUUUAUCUUAUCUUAAGUCUGCUAAAACAAGUACUAGCUUCAAACAUGACUGUAAAAUAAGAUGGUUGCACCCAUAACAUCAGCUACUUCAUGUGUCAUCCAUGUCAGAUCAUGGUAAUUUCACACCCCUCUCAAAAGUAAAGGAAAAAAGGAACCCCUGCAGAAAAACUACAACAUCUUCAUGAUAUCCAGGACCAACGUCUCCAAGAAUCUCAUGAAUCACCAUAUCGUAUGCAGUCAGUCUGUGACCAAAUCCCCUCAACUUUACCUGAUGACUUGGAAGGUGUUGGGUACCACCGCAAUUGUUAUCUGCGCUUUAAUGCCAACCUUCAUCUCCUAAGAGAUAACACAGAACCAGAACCAUUAACGUCAGAGAGGCAUCGCUCACCUCGUAGAUUGUCGUCUGGUCCCAUCUUCCCACCCGAGUGCAUUUUUUGUGAAAAGGUUGUGAUCAAAAGUAGCCAUUGGAAAACAGAGAGACCUCAGUUCAGAGGCGAAGAGGAAGAGAUGUAGGAAUCAGAGGACGAGUUCUAUGAAGACUAUGAGUAAUUAAAAUGAUUGAAGAAUUUUGUUCUUCAUGGUGCAGGCCAGUUUACAAUGUGGUCACUGUUUGUAAACUGUUUGCUAAUAUAUUUGCUUGUGUACAGGGUGGGAUCCUGUAAUGUGAUACUAUUGUAUACUAUUGUCAAUUAUUACUGAGGAUGUUUGUUUUGUGAUGUUACGCUACAGUAUAUCGCUACAGCUACAGCUUGCUUAAAAACUCAGCAUCUGGCUAGACAACUUAUUUGUAUAGUUAUACACAAUAUUGGUAUCUAUUACUUGGUAAAAAUGUUAUUAUAUUGUAACAGGGAAACUCAUUUUCACACCAGCGUGUUGUGGCCACUUUAAGAAUAGUUUCAAUGAGGUUCUUGACCCUCAAAACAGGUCCAGAUACCUUAUUUGUUAUUUUUAAUGCAACAUUGGCUGAGAUAUAGGCAAAAUCAGUGUUUCCAAAAUGGCGGCACUAAUUUGCAUCUUAAUAAUAGAUGGGUAAUGUUGACAACUAUUUAACAUAGCUCAUCAUUUUCAGCACAUUUUUCCAAUAAGGAAAUACUGAUUAGAAAUAUAAAUAUAUAUCUGGGGGUGCAUGAUACCUGUAAUAGACAGCUACUGGCAGAAUCUCCUAUUUUCUCCGAUUUGAGGUAUAGUGCAGAACUUUGGCUAUAGAAAGAGUAAUUUUCAAGCCAGAAAGGUCAUCUUGGGCUCAGAUUGAAGGUUAGGGACAUGGAGAGUUUCUAUUUACAAAUGAGGCAGUGAUAUUCACCAUUGAGUGCUGGAAAUUAAUCAUCUUUGUUAUUAUUUGUCAAGCGGACAGUAUAUUUUUUUGUGUUUCUGGGGAUGAUGUUGGUCAUAAUUAUGAAUACAGUUGUAGCAGGUCCUAAAAUCCUAUUGGGCUACUUAACCCUUUGUCUCAGGGCUUUCAUGUCCAAUUAUGUAAUUCUAGUGAAUUAAUAUUUGCCUUAACACAAUUUUGCUAGAGCCAUAUACCAAAAAGUGGGUUUUGGGGGGUUUUGGGGCAGAUGGGAUAUUCUGAGAACUUUUUAUCAUAGCUCAUCAUUUUCAGCACAUUUUUUCCUAUAGAAAAACACUGAUUAGAAAUAUAUCUCCGGGGGGUGCACUGAACCCCCUCCUUCCAACUGGACUUACACUCGAGCAGAGACAUAACUGAUCAAACCUACAGGAAAAAAUUCUCACCUUCGCUCUGGAGUCUAAAACAGUCAGUAUUACCAGUCAUCCAGCUCCAGCAGUUUAAUAAUCCACCAAUAUUAUUCUCAUCCCGUUUCUCGCGGUCAGCGCGUUUCAUCCAUUUGCAUUGUGUGAAGAAAAGUUUUAGCUUGCUUUAGCUUCAGGUGUCCUGAUAGAGGCCGCAGGAGCAUCACUGGAAUUGGUACCGAGUCCAGACCACAGGUCCAGACAGGCCGUGACUGACUCACCGCGUCGGAACCGAGACGCGUUCCUUGUCCCGGUGGAAGAAGACCAGGAAAUAAACGAUCGAACCGGCCGACCAGAAACAAUGCUAAAAACUUUAAUUUUUCACACGAAUGGAUGAGAUGCUGACUGCGAGGUUGUAAACGGGGUUUAAACAGGAUGUAAUCGGGAAUAAUAUCGGGAGAUUUUAGCCUGUUGGAGCUGGAUGACUGAUAAUGCUGACUGUUUUCGACACCAGAGUGAAGGUAAGACAUUUUUCCCUCCGUUUUUUUUAUGUCAGAUCUCUGUUAAACAGUGAAGACUCUGGUGAUGAAGUUCAUUACACUCAAUACUGAUGUUUACAUCUGAUCGCUGCUGCUGCUGCAUGUGUGAGUAAGGACCCCUUCUCUAGUGUGCUAACAGGAGGAUCCUGACGCUUCAUAGCUGCUAGCCAGCGUCGGAGAAUCACCGGCCGUUUCAGUGGCAAAUGAUGAAAAUGCAAUGUUUUUUUUCUUGCAUUGUAAAACUGGUCGGAGCAGCCUGGCGCAAGACAAAAUACCCCUCCUCUAGUGAGUUUACUCGUCUUUGGCUCUCAAUUCGCCAUUUUAGACAUCCUAAUCUGCUGUCAUUCAAUCUAUGUCAAUUCAGUCAAUACACGGGCUACACAUCCGAUGAUGUCACACCAAGUGGCACUGCUUUACGGUUCCACACAGUGUCGCUAAAGUGGAACUUCUGUCACAGUUUUCUAGAAAUGCAUUACAUUUUGGGUGUCAUGAAUAAAGUGAUUUGUGAAGUUGAGUGGCAUUCUUAAAUAUAAUGAUAACUUGGGUCAGUGUUUCAUGUCCUCUUUAAAGUACCGCAUCAACCCACUUGUUUCAGUGGGGCUCGGGGCUCAUAGUUAGGGGGCUAGUGCUUUUUUUUUUUUUUUCUCAAUUUAAACACGGCUCGACCCAUUCACAACUGACUAGGAAUCCUCUCCUCUCCAGCCCCAUGAACUGCGCGGCUGUUCACCCCGACUGUCACGUGUUGCCAUGGUUACGGUCAGUGUUUUUUCCUCUUCCCCAAGGACCAUGAGUAGCUCUGUUAUAUGGCUGCCUUGUCAAUGCAGUGGCAGGUUGAGUGCGAGCAAAGGUUCUUGUAACGUUGAGAGUGGCGAUGUCACAUAAUGUUCCCACUGUUGACACAUUUUUUCUGUAAUAAUGAGGACAGGUCUUGCAUUUUCACUUGUAUAAGAGCAUAUUAUCGGUGCAGAAUGCUUGUUACAGUCAAGUAUGAGGCUCAACUCUACCUUAAAUGGUUAUAUUGACGGACCAUUUAAGAACGAGAGGGAGAGAUGGCUGGGAUGCCUCAAAAAAGAUGGCGGUUGCCUCAGAUUUUAAAAUCCAACACUGCGUGUGGUGUCACAUUGCUUGCGCAAUCACGUUGGUUGAAAUGCUCUCCUUAUGUGCAUCAGGAAGUUAAUUGAAUGUAUUAUUAGGGGUUUUUGAUGAGUUUCCUUCCUUUUUUUAAUUGAAGUUGUAACUCUUCUUUCUUUGUUGUAAUGGGCAAUGCGUUUCCCUAGCUUAACAACAAUCACUCUGACUAAAAGCCCAAAUCCCUUUUAACAGUGCAGUAUCUCAGGAGGUAGAGCGGUGGUCCAAUAACUGGAAGGUUGGUGGUUUGGCAGCCACUUUUCUGUCAGUCUACCCUAUGGCAGCUCUGACUACCAAGGUAGUUUACCACCAACAGGGUGUUAUUGUGUGUGUGAGUGAAUUAAAGAUGUUUCCAAUGUAAAGCGCUUUGAGGGUCACUGAUAAAGUGCUAUAAAAUCUGAUGCAUCAUUAUUAUUAUUAUUAUUAUUAUUAUUAUUGUUAUUAUUAUUUAUCGAGAAGGUGUUUAUGCUGCAGCAGCUGUUAAAUCUGACAUAUGGGAGCAUGAGUUUAUCAGAAUAGUCAGUGCGACAUCAGCAGUGAUGCAGAUGUUGCACAGGGCUGUUUUAGUGAGGAGAGAGCAGAGCUAAAUUGAGAGGCUUCUAUUUACUGGUUUAUCUAUAUUUCAACCUUCACCUAUAGGCAUGAGUUUUGGGUUGUGAUUAAAAGCAGGAUAUCACAGAUGCAAACAGUGUACAUCUGUGUUUUUUCUGGGCUUAGUUUUAGAGACAGAGUCGUGGACAUCCAGGGGGAGCUCAGAGUAGAGCUGCUACUCCUUCACGCUGAAAGGAGACAAUUUAGGUGAUUUGCCUCUCUGGUGCCUCCCUCCUGGUCCAACUUGGAGAAGACCCCAGGAUCGACCCAAAAUCAGCAGGAGUGAUAAUCCCAUCUGGCAUGGAAGCACCUCAAGAUAGAGAGCAUCUGACCCGGCACAGAGAAGGACUGCAUCAGAUAUUUGGAGAUAAGUCAUUAUCUGUGUUUUUCUUUUUGAUAUCAGAGCAUAAAUAUCAUACUGUGAACUUGAUAUUGCAGUAUUAUGACAUUUUAAUAUUGUUUCAUCUGUUUUCAUCAUACUUUCAUACUAUAAUAAUAAUAAGAAUAAGAAUAAUAAUAAAAAAAAAAAAAUAAUAAUAAUAAUAAUAAUUAUUAUUAUUAUUAUUAGUAGUAGCAGUAGUAUUGUUUUUACAAUUGUUGAUUUACAGGUGAAAAUUAAAGAAUUUACACAAAGUUUGACUUCAUGAAAAGUUUGCCCUUUCAAAAAAGCCAAGAGUCAAAAAUAAUAAAAAAAAAAAAAAUGGACAAAAUAAAUUGGGGGCUUGCUCUUCCUCGUUUGCUGAACUUAAAAGUGGGGUAGGCAGGAUCUGAGGAAGUGCCAGUUUUUGGGAGAAAUCUUGAAUGUAAACACUACCCCUCCCAACCAGUUUUCCCCUCAGCUCCUCCUCUCCCCUCCCUCUCCGCUCCAGCAAGCCCCGCCCACAAACAGGCGCUCCUGCUUGCUUGUAUCGUUUCAAUUAAAUACAGAUAUAAUGCAGAUAAAUACUUAUUACAAAUUACAAAUUGAAGCCCAGUCAACGUGAAAGUAAACAGCAUUGGUGCUACUGUAGAUGCCAACACACUACCAGAAAACACAAUGUUUGCAGGACUUCCAAAACUAGGAUUAAGUGACAUACUCCAGGACCUGAGCUAAACAGUUUAGCGGGUCUUCUCUUUCUUACCUAUUUAAUCUUUUUUUUUUCUGAGGCUGUUGGAAUUUAAAUUUUCCCGAGGAAACCCAAAAGGACCAGUGAAGUUUAAUCUAAUCUAAUCUAGUCUUAAUACAAAUUUUACAAUCAUGGCUAAAUAAUAAUACUGUCAUCAUAUGUUCUGUUGUUCCUCUGGUUUUGAUUUGAUUUGAUUUGAUUUGAAAAUCUUUAUUGUCCCCUAAGGGCAAUUCAGUUUGCAACAGAAGUUAAAACACACAUUCUUACAAUACCUCACAUUACAGAAAUGCAUACAUCCAAUACCACACACAAAUACAAUAAAUAUAUAUAUAUAUACACAGAGUCAGCACAAACUAAGGGUGCAUCAUUUCCAUCACGCCUGCCUACAGCUUGUUUAAAAAGCCAAUGGCUGUUGGGACAAAGGAUUUAAGGUACCGAUUUGAUUUAGCCUUGCAAGUGAAAGUGUACCUUCUCUUAGACGGGAGAAGCUGAAACUCAGCAUGAAGAGGAUGGAGAGGGUUUGCUAGAACGGCCUUUUCCCUCUGAGUGGCUCUGGUUUUAAAAACAGAGUCAAGAUCAUUCAGACUCAAGCCGAUAGUUUUUUGGCAGAGUUUGACAAUACUCCUUAGCUUGUUUUUAUUUGUGAUGCUGAGGUUACCAAACCAACAGACCAUAGCAAAAGUUAAAAUGGACUCAAUAAAAGACGAAUAAAACAUUUUAAGAAGCUUUUUGUCAACAUUAAAACACCUCAGUUUCCUCAGAUAAAAUAAUCUCUGAUUUGCCUUUCGGCAGAUGGAGUCUGAGUUGGUCUCAAAGGAAAGUUUGUCAUCCGGGAUGGUGCCUAGAUACUUGUACUGGCUUACAGAAAGUUUGUCUUCCAGGAUGGUGCCUAGAUACUUGUACUGGCUUACAAUCUCUACCUAUUUGCCAUUAACAAAGGUGAUUUCAAUGUAUUUUCCCUCAUGUUCCUGUUCUCCUGAAGUCCUGUAUUGUGAGUUUUCUGUUUGUGUCUGUCCCAUUUCCCUCAUGUUCUCAGUGUUUUAUUCUGUAUAUCAGUCUUCAGUGUUUCCUGUUUUAUUUUAUGGUGGUUUAUUCCCUGUGUCUUAGUCUUGCUUUACUACCUCGGUUUUCUCUCCUCAGUAAUUGUCUGCACCUGUGUCUCUGUCUCUCACCUGUCACUCGUUGCUCGUUUCCUUGCGUGUCUUCCCCUGUUUUCUUGUCGGUUCACUGUGUGUCCAUGUCUCUGUGUGUAUGCCAGUGUCUCCUUGGGAUUUUUUGGUUCUUUGGAUUUUGCCAUUUGUGUUUCUCAGGAUUCUUUGAGUUGGACAAUUUGGAAAGCAUGUUUUUGUUUCUUCUUCUUAAAAUAAAUCCUCUUUUUGGUUCUACAUUUUGGGUCCUUUCCUUUUUGUUUGACUCUAAGCCGUGACAAAUACACAAGCAAAAACAGGGAUCUAUAGAACUAUCUUCACCUGAAGAUGGGGGGAAACUUGUGCCACUUCUUGAAAAGAAAUCUAAACAAGAAAAAGAGAACAAGUAGAUUGAAAAUUGAAUAAAUUGAUAUGACUUGAUAUUUAAUUUUAAAGUUUGUCCACAGCUCCUGGAGGAGGUGGGUUUAGGAUCUUUACUGCAGCCCUUCACCAGUGCUGUUCUUGCAGAGGCUUCACGCAGUGAGGAGGCAGAUGUUCUAUAUACAUUCUACAAACAGUUUAUGGUUGUUACACAUUUGAAAAAAAAAGAGUUAAAAAAAAUGUACAUAAAUAUGACCCUUUUAACCUCCAGAUUUGUCUCACUUAUCAGUUGUAUUGACCAGACAGUGUCUGACUAUACUGUAAGUCUACAUUUCAGCACUGAGAGAGUACACUGACUACAGCUGUUGCAUAACCCAGUUUACAGCCUGCAACCUGUACAGCUCUGUGUAAUGUGACCAUCUGACAGUGAGGCAUAACAGUGAUAAGCACAGCUGGUUCAAUGUAAACGCUGCAGAACUGGAAUUGAAUAGACUCAAUCACGCUCCAACA